rnacentral:rRNA from 1 species
GGAUUAGGCAUGCAAGUCGCACGAGAAAGGCUUCUUCGGAAGCCGAGUAAAGUGGCGAACGGGUGAGUAAUGCAUAGACAACUCGCCCUUGAGAUGUGGACAACGCCUCGAAAGGGGUGCUAAUACCCAAUGCCGCCUUGGGCCUGCGGGUCCAGGGUGAAAGGAGGCCUCUGAUUCAAGCUUCCGCUCAAGGAGAGGUUUAUGUCCUAUUAGCUAGUUGGCGGGGUAACGGCCCACCAAGGCCGCGAUGGGUAGCCGACCUGAGAGGGUGACCGGCCACAUUGGGACUGAGACACUGCCCAGACUCCUACGGGAGGCUGCAGUCGAGAAUCUUCCGCAAUGCGCGCAAGCGUGACGGAGCGACGCCGCGUGGGUGAUGAAGGCCUUCGGGUUGUAAAACCCUGUCAGCUACUACGAAACACGGGCGAUGAACAAUCGUCCCGUCUGACUUAAGUAGCAGAGGAAGCACCGGCUAACUACGUGCCAGCAGCCGCGGUAAUACGUAGGGUGCGAACGUUGUUCGGAAUCACUGGGCAUAAAGGGCGCGUAGGCGGUCUGAUAAGUCAGGUGUGAAAUCCCUCGGCCUAACCGAGGAACUGCAUUUGAUACUGUCGGGCUAGAGUACAGGAGGGGAGAGUGGAAUUCCUGGUGGAGCGGUGAAAUGCGUAGAUAUCAGGAGGAACGCCGGCGGCGAAAGCGACUCUCUGGCCUGUUACUGACGCUGAGGCGCGAAAGCUAGGGGAGCAAACGGGAUUAGAUACCCCGGUAGUCCUAGCCCUAAACGAUGGGCACUAAGUAGAGGGGUUUU